GGCUCUGGGGUCAAGGGGCCAUGAGGAGGCCUGGGUAGUGGGCAACAGGGCCCAUGGAUGCCGAGCUGGAGGCAGCCCCUCCAAAAGCAUCCGGUCCAGAGGGAGGUGGGCACAGCUUCCGCGGGGACUCUGGCCUCAGGCCACCAGGACUACCCCACCCUGCACCUUGGACCCACAGGGUGGGUGGGAGCUGUGCCCAUGUGCCCAUGUGAUGCACCACCCUCUCCACUCAGCCCCGUUUGUGAGCCAGUCGCGGUGCAGGACACUGAUGGUGCCCUGGAGUCAUUUAAACAACGCAUGCUGUAGAAAGGGCAGUGUCCAGCCCUGAAGCCCUGGAGAGCCACCAUGUCCCCAUCAGGGAGGAGCCCAACUGUGCAGACAGCUUGAGAGGCCGGCAUCAAGGAGAGGAGGAUGAACAGAAAGAGGGAUCGGUGUGAGGCCACCCCGUGGGCUGGGGCCAUGUGCCCACUCUGCCCUCACCUGCCAGGUGAGGACACAGAAGCAUGCGUGGGCCAGCGCCUCUCCCAGCCGCGCCCCUGCGGACCCCAGCCAGGAGCUCCUCCUUCCUCUCUAAGGACCACCGCUGCCGCCUACCUGUGCGAGCUGAGCGCGCAGCGCCGCGAGCUCCCCCUGCAGACGCGCCCGCUCGGUGCGCAGCGCCGCCGUCUGCUCCUGCAGGACGCGCCUCUCCGCCUGCGCCUCGGCCGCCUCCUGCCCGCCGCUGAGCCUCUGCGGCCUGCAGAGCACCUGGGCCGAAGACGCUGGGCGUGGGCCAGGGAUUGGGAGGGCCCGAGUUUCUGAGAGCGGGGUCGUUCCAUCUAAGGCUGGCUCUGGCCUCAACUUAUUUUCUCCUAAACGGCGUGUCCACAGCUGACUCCUCUGUUGUAGGGGUGCUUACUGUACGGCAAGAAAUCCAGCCCCCUGACUCCCUGUGGGCCCCUCCAGGCUCAGUUUCCCCAUCUGUCAGCGGGGGACUGGAUGGUGCCUGGGUCUCUGCAGGCCUGCUCACCUGCCUCCAGCAUCUCUCUAGGCCUCCCUUCAUGUUGAGGGACUGAUUCUGCAAAGGACCACAGGGCCUCUUCCCUGUAGGCCUGUUCACCGCCUCCUGGUGACAGCGUACCCUGCCCUCCUGGUCACCCUCACCUGUCGCAGGGGCUCCAGCGAUACCUCAGCCUUCUGGCACCUGUGCUCCAAGUUGGUGAGCUGUUCUUCCAGCAGCUUCCCCUGCUUGGCCAGACCUUGGCUGUGCCUCCUGCUCUCUUCAAGAGCCUGGCGCAGCGUUUCCAGUUGCUCCUGGGGGGAAGGAGACACAGGGUCCACCUGGAGACACUGGGGGUGGGAGGCCCUGCAGGGAAACCCUGGCCUCAGGGCAUCUGCCUAGACCGUCUGGCAGGACCGUAUCGCUGGGAUGAAAACAGCAAGAACGUGGUUAAGGACAACCUGAAGUGCGUUGAUCAGGUGAUUGUGUUUGCAAUGUAACCUCAAAGGUGUGGACCCCCAGGAAGCCUGAGACGAAAGUCCUGGGGGUCUGGUCUAGCGUGGGCAAAGACUUGGGCUUGGCAGGUUCUCUGCUGCAGCCAGUGGUCUCAGAGGGCACAUCAGUGGCAUCCCUGCCCUGCCUCCAGCCUUGGUGGCUCCUACUGCCCUUGGGAUAAAGCCUGAGGUGACCCUCCCCAAGGCUCCUGGAGCCUGUUCGGCUCAGGCCCUGCUUGCCCCUUCUGCCAUCACACUGCAUGUUCUCCUGCUUCAGCUCCCACCUGGGGACAUGGCUAGUCCCAAACUAAGCUCAGGAGCUCCAGAGUCCGUGAAGCUGGGAUGGCCCAUGAUCCCCGCUGUGUCCCUCACCCCUGCGCCCUCUUCUCAGCCCCUCUGCCUUCAGCUUGUCCAAACCGCCAUCAUCCACUUGGGACCAGUGACAGCCCUUCAGUUUCCUCACUGUCCCCAGGUGCUACCCCAUGAUGGCUGAGGGUGCAUUUCACUUGACUAUCAUCGGCCAUGCCACUGCCUUGCUCUGGGCCUGUGGUGCUCCCAGCUGCCCCCAGGACACUGCCCGGGGAACUCGCCAUCCCUUCGAUCACGUGCACCUGCUGCCCUCUGUGCACAGCCUCCCCGCUGGCGCCCCCACCCUACGCUGCUGCCUUCUCCUCCUGCUUGCAGGAAUCCUGCCUCCCUGUCAUCCCAGGAGGGAGGAUGGCACCCGACGUGUCCCCUGAGCCCCAGAGCUGGCAGCUGUUGGGCCUUGAGAGGACCCCAGACGUGUGAAGGAGAUUGCAAGGCGUCCGUCAUUGGAAGCUUGUUGACUGCAAGUUGGCCUGGUCAGGUCUUGAUGAGCCCCGAGCCCUUGCACCUUCCUGAGGGUUUUGUGGGAGAAAUGGCCAGCUCCUUCUGGGGUGGCCGGAUUCUGAAAACACUUUUUUUUUUGGUCCGACACUUUGUUACUUUAAAAAAGGAAAAGAAGGAAGACAAUGCUUGUACCUAAGACUGUGAUGCUUCACCCUUCGUGCAAUUUUGAAAAUUAUAAUUUUCUAUAUAAUUUUCCAGUAGAAAAGCAGAAGUUUUCUGCAAAUAUGGCUUAAAUAUUUC
rnacentral:lncRNA from 1 species